rnacentral:snRNA from 1 species
GGAUGUGAGGGCAAUCUGGCUGCGACAUCUGUCACCCCAUUGAUCGCCAGGGUUGAUUCGGCUGAUCUGGCUGGCUAGGCGGGUGUCCCCUUCCUCCCUCACCGCUCCACGAGCCUCCCUCUCAAAGCUGCGCGCUCGGUCGAAGAGGACGACCUUCCCCGCUAGAGGAGGACCGGUCUUCGGGUUCCGUCAAGGGUAUACGAGUAGCUGCGCUCCCCUGCUAGAACCUCCAAACAAGCUCUCAAAGUGCUGGGAUUACAAGCAUGAGCCACUGCACCCAGCCAGAAAAAGAAGUAAAAAUAAAUGUUCU